GUUUAUUCCCUUAACAGGAGCAAUCAUCUCAUGGGACCACACUGCCUCUUUUAGGAUUCCAGGUCUGGUAGAUAAACAUCCUGAACAAUAAAUAAAAUUUAUUCCUUUCAAGUGAUAAGGACUUCUCAGGAGCCACCUAACAGUGCUAGAAGUGAGAUAGUUUGGACAAGACUGCUUAACAAUGCAUACCUCUUCCCCACUGUCCCGAUUCUGUUUCUAUUUAAACCUUCAGGUCAUGCCAGCACCUGAAAGACAUGACUUAAAACAUGGAUCCCCUUGUCUUUCUGGUGUAGCUAAAUUGACUAAAGUUCUUUUCUUGAUUUUUGCGAUUACUCUUUGGAUUUUGGGGGAUGUGGUGAGUGGCUAGACCUGGAUUUUGUAUCUGGCAUGGGACUCCUGUAAUUCUUUCAAUUUUUAUUUUGUGGAAAAUUAAGAAAUCACUGUGUAAUCAAUAGUGCCAAAGGUUAUGUAAUAUUAUGAGAAACUCAAGUGAAGCCACUGGCAUUAAUCUCCUGCUGCUGUAUUUUUGUUUUUGUUGUUGUUAUAGGUGGACACAAUAUCAUUAUUUUAUUUUUCUGUGAUGCUGAGGAUCAAACCCAGUGUCUCAUGUAUGGUAGGUGAGCAUUCUAUCUCUGAGCACAACCCCAGUCCCAUACCUGUGUAUUUACAAAACAUGAGAACUUUGUCAACACAAGCUCCAUCCAUAUAUCUUUGCCCACACAGGUUCCUCUGCCUAGAAUAUUUUUGUGCCUCAUAAAAGACUCCUGCUGAGCCUCCAAAAUCCAGCUCUUAUAGCACCUAUUUUGGUAGAGUCUUUCCUUACUAAUCUCAAAGAGUAGGACAACUUAUUCUUUGUCUGUAAUCCUCAAGACUCUAUAUGCUGAGGUAGGAGGAUCAUGAGUUCAAAACUAGUGUCAAAACUCAAUGAUACCAUGAGCAUCAUAGCUAAAACC
rnacentral:lncRNA from 1 species